rnacentral:lncRNA from 1 species
AACUCGUACGAUAUAAUUCUUUUUAUAGAAGAUCAACUACACUGUUUACACAAACAAUUCUAUCUUAUUUUUUAAACAAGAUAACAUGUAUGUAUAGACAAACUAUAGAGCAUCUUUUGAAUAUGUUACAUGAGGAGCUAACUCAUAGAUGAUAUAUAUCAAUUGAUGAACUAUACCUUAGGUCCACAAAUUAAUGAGCCUAACAUAGACCCAUAUAUAUAUAUAUAUUCCAAGCUCAUAUCAUAGCUUCGUAACCUUCUGAUUUUCCAUUUUUACCCUUCAAUGCAACCACAGCAACAAUAACAAGUACAACUCCCAAGAGAACAAUUGGCCAAACGAAUUUGGGCACUGUCGUAAAUUUAGACACCUGUAACCCAAAAAUAAAUGAUCAAAUAGGAAUAAAUAGAUGCACGAUACUAUUGAAAAAUUAAAGUUCAUUAGAAAACUUAACUUUGAAUUAUAUAUAUUUUUUAAAAUGGGACUUAUAUUUUUAUUUUCGUAAAGACCAAUCUAAUAAAGAAGUGGACUUUUGUGGAAAAUGUUGCACAAACAUUAUCAUAUUUUUUCAGUGUAAUUAUCAUUUUUGUUGUGAUAUAUAAUUGUCACUUUCCAAUUAGAGUGCAAGAAUAAAUGCUAUUUAAUACAAUCCAUUUGACUAACCUACAUGCAUCUUCAUCAUUUUUUC